GGCCCAGGAUAAGCUGAUGGUUUGGGUUGACUUGAGAUCCCUGGUGGAUUUUUUCACCAUUGCUCCUUCCUUUGUUACCCUGUUUUCCCGUCGAGCCUGGCUGGGUCUGAGGUUCAUCAGAGCUCUGCACAUACUGGAGUUACCAGUCGUUCUGCAGAUUCUCAACGUCUUCAACAGCAACAGCACCACUCUGAAACUCUCCCGCCUGGUUGCCAUCCUAACAGGCACAUUGCUGACCUCAGCUGGUUUCAUCCACCUGGUGUGUUUGUGUCAUUUCCAUUCGUCUUGGU